CCAGAAUUUAAGUGCCCAUCGACACGGACUGUAUCUAUCAUGCCAACAAAAUAUCGCAAGAUACAGUCUCCGUACCGAUGGCAAAGCUCAAAGCCCUCAUUCUUUAAAUUAGUAAGUAAUUUUUUCAAUAAAGUUCAAAAGUUUUGAUAAAAAUACAUAAUAAACAGUUAUAAUAUUUUGUUGAUAAAGAAAAUAAAUAUUUUGUACUAUUAUGUGUCGGCACACGUGAAUUUUUUGUGACGGGCACGCAUCGACACGGCCCGGUACACACUGUGCCGGAAAGUUUUCAGCACGAUUCUGUGCCACGGCACUUAAAUCCUUGAUACAAUACUUCAUGAAUGUUAUAUUUUUUUUAUUUUUUAUUUUUUAUUUUUAUC
rnacentral:lncRNA from 1 species